CGAAAGUUAGAGGUUCGAAGGCGAUCAGAUACCGCCCUAGUUCUAACCAUAAACGAUGCCAGCCAGCGAUCCGGCUGUGUUCCUCAAAUGACACGCCGGGCAGCUUCCGGGAAACCAAAGCUUUUGGGUUCCGGGGGAAGUAUGGUUGCAAAGCUGAAACUUAAAGGAAUUGACGGAGGGUCACCACCAGAAGUGGAGCUUGCGGUUCAAUUUGACUCAACGCAGCGAACCCUACCAGGCCAGGACACAGGUAGGAUUGACAGAUUAAGAGCUCUUUCUUGAUUUUGUGGGUAGUGGUGCAUGGCCGCUCUUGGUUCGUGUAGUGAUUUGUCUGGUUUAUUCUGAUAACGGACGAGGCUCUAGCCUACUAAAUAG
rnacentral:rRNA from 1 species